rnacentral:rRNA from 1 species
GACGAACGCUGGCGGCGUGCUUAACACAUGCAAGUCGUACGGUAAGGCCCUUUCGGGGGUACACGAGUGGCGAACGGGUGAGUAACACGUGAGUAACCUGCCCACAACUUUGGGAUAACGCUAGGAAACUGGUGCUAAUACUGGAUAUGUGCUCCUGCUGCAUGGUGGGGGUUGGAAAGCUCCGGCGGUUGUGGAUGGACUCGCGGCCUAUCAGCUUGUUGGUGGGGUAGUGGCCUACCAAGGCGGCGACGGGUAGCCGGCCUGAGAGGGUGACCGGCCACAUUGGGACUGAGAUACGGCCCAGACUCCUACGGGAGGCAGCAGUGGGGAAUAUUGCACAAUGGGCGCAAGCCUGAUGCAGCAACGCCGCGUGCGGGAUGACGGCCUUCGGGUUGUAAACCGCCUUCAGCAGGGACGAAGCUUUUUGUGACGGUACCUGCAGAAGAAGCACCGGCUAACUACGUG